GACAGAGGGGGCAAGCGUUGCUCGGAAUUACUGGGCGUAAAGGGCGCGUAGGCGGGAUGGUAAGUCGGUCGUGAAAUCCCUCGGCUCAACCGAGGAACGUCGAUCGAUACUACCGUUCUUGAGGAUUGAAGAGGAGAGUGGAAUUCCCGGUGUAGCGGUGAAAUGCGCAGAUAUCGGGAAGAACACCCGUGGCGAAGGCGGCUCUCUGGGACGGUACUGACGCUGAGACGCGAAAGCGUGGGGAGCGAACAGG
rnacentral:rRNA from 1 species